rnacentral:lncRNA from 1 species
AGGGAGCCAUCUCUCCCUAGCGAUGACGACAACAGCGACUGUCGGAUCAGAGAAGCCAUUGGACGGUGGAGGAAAGCGAGUGGGAAUGGCGGCAUCAUCAGGAUUCUCUCCUCGCUUUCCUCCUUGGAACCACCACACUCCUCGCACCUUCCACUUCUUUCGUCCCUGAUUCACCAUCAUCAUCACAGUCACUCAUACAACAAAUGUUUUGGAGAAACUUUCCAGGAGCUAUUUUUCGGCUGUGUGGUGUGUAUGUAUUACAUAUAUGUUCUUGUGUCCAUGUAAGACUUUUCUUUCUGUAAUUUAAUCAUACAACAAAUGUUCGUGGCCCACAUCCUACAUGGUAUCCCCUGUACAUAUUGGAGACUUCUGUUUCAUCAUUUACCAUCUCAUCACAUGCGCUUAGUAACUUAGUUAGGUUUCGAGUCCGGAUCUAGAGAAUACCAUGCACACAACCCAACCGCAAUUUCAGAAAAUAUUAUACCUAAAUGGGUUUUAACGAAAAAAUGUACAUCCGAAUAAAUUUAGGUUUUCUGAGUGAAGUUGGGUUGGGUUGGGCUGGGUUGUUGACAUGGGCCACCCCUAAUAUCGGGACCAAUUCUUUUUUUUUUUUUGAGGGUCAAACAUUGAUAAUGAGAUCCACGUAUUUUUGUCCAAUAUUAUUCAACAAAAAGUAACAAAUAUGUGAUUUAAAUUUUCUAGCUAAUGGAGUGAAUAUGUUUUAUAAUUGUGAAUCACUGGACAUACAUGUGUCUUGCACUAGCUAGUUUUAUAGUUGUUUGAUAAUUCGACAUGUGUAUUGCACUAAUAGUAUAUAUUUACUAGUAUCACUAUCAAGUUGAUAAACUAAAGAUAAAGUGAUAGCGACAUACGAACCAAUCAUACAGAUUAGCCACCAGUGUUUAAAGUUUAUUGUUAUUACAGUAACAAAGCGCCAGAAAAUAAAAAAAAUAUGAAAAGCAACUCUGAGAGCCACAUAAAAGUCACAAAAACACAAUAAUGUAAGACUAUAAACAUGUUUAUAGGUCUUUUUUUCAUUUAGAAUACGUAUGGGGCUUGUAGAAAUUAACAAUGAUCACCAUAAGAACUACUAGUAGGAAAGAAACUGAGCCUCACGUAACCAAAAGACCUCCAUUAAAUUUAAACCGAUGGAAGAAGAAGAAGAUUUGGUGGUGGUGAUAUCAAGGAGCAUCGUGAUCCCCAGAAACGCCAAGAAAUCGACUUCCUCCAAGAAGAAGAUCCAUCUGCUUCCUUGGGAUCUCUCUCGCCUCCGCUUCGGUUAUCUUCAAAGAGGUCUCCUUUUCUCCAAACCUUAUCCAAAAAUCGACACAGUUCUCUCAAAGUUACAAACUUCACUCUCUCUAGCACUUGACCGUUUCUACCCUUUAGCUGGUCGUCUCGUAAAGGUACAGAACGACGACGACACUGUCUCCUUUUACAUCAACCCCGAUGGCUCAGGCGUGGAGUUCGUUCACGCCUCAGCUACAAACAUCGAGGUCAGUGAUGUCCUUAGAUUAUCUACUUCUCUCAGCUCCUUCUUCCCCGCUACUGGGGUCAAGAACUGUAACGGCGUCUCGAGAUCUCUCCUCAUGGUUCAAGUGACUGAGAUGAAAGAUGGGAUCUUUAUCGGUUUCGGUUACAACUCCACUGUAGCUGACGGAGAUUCGAUCUGGAAGUUUUUAAACGCGUGGUCUGAGAUCUGCUCCAAGGGUUUGGUUCCCGAACCUUGUCAGCGUCGUCUUCAGCUUAAAGGUUGGUUCUUUGAGGAGAUUGAGUACCCGAUUCGGAUCCCAGACCCGGAGGCAAAACCAGCUAGGGUCACAACAGCUUCGAGUGGUUUACAGGAGUUGAUGUUUCAUGUCACAAAGGAGAAUGCUUUGAAACUUGAAGCUAAAGCCAACGAUGAGAAAGUGUCGUCAUUACAAGCGGUGUUAGGACAUUUAUGGUGUUCGAUGGUUAAGCACAGUGGGAUGAGCAGAGAGGAAGAGACUCAUUGCAGGUUACCUAUAGACAUGAGGAGAAGGGUGGAUCCACCGUUGGAAGAAGACUGUUUUGGGAACGUGAGUCAGACCGGGAUAGCGAAAGUCACGGUUGGUGAGCUGAUGGAUAAUGGAUUAGGGUGGGCGGCUGGGAAGAUAAACGAUAUGGAGCGGUCGCAAACGCAUGAAAACGCGGAAGGGAAUGCGGAGAAAUGGGUGAGAGAUGUGAAGAUUCCGGUUUCGGUUGGUAGUAAAGAUUUGGUUGUGACGAGUUCUCACCGGUUUGAUGUGUAUGGAAAUGAUUUCGGUUGGGGUAAACCGGUAGCUGCGAGAGCUGGACCGCCGUAUGUGAGUGGGAGAAUGGUUGUGUUCCAAGGGGUUGAAGAAGGGAGUCUUGAUUUUCAGGCUUGCUUGCUGCCUCAAGUAGUGGAAAAGCUAUCAGAAGAUGUUGAUUUUAAAGAGUUUGUGAGCAUUGUAUUAUGAUGGUUUGAUGACUUGGUUCAACAAUUUGGAUCGAAUUUAAAAUGUGUGUGUGUGUGUGUGUGUGUUUCUUCCUUUUCUGAUUGUUUGUAAUUCAUCAACCUGGUCACAUGAAAUUCUCAGAUGGCCAUAAACAUUUUUAAAAUAAAUUUGAAUAAUUUUUCUUUAGUUUGGAAGUAGCAGCAGCUUAUGUAUACUAGAUCUUUAAAAUUUAUGAAAAACAAAUGUUUCACAGCAGCAUGUCCAUGGAUGAAAACUGAUAAUGGGCCUGCAAUUUAUGACCCAAUACGCAAUCAAACCGGCCCAAUGUAUUAGAACACGUGGUGAAUAUGUGUUUAGGUGAGAACGGGAUUUGGAUAUACACACUGUCACUCACUAGUCACUACUGUAAUCAUACUGCUCCAUCGAAUUACCUCCAGAAGCGAAGACGACAAACAAGACAUGGCAGAUGUUGUUGUGCUCUCUAAAAGCAUAGUUCGACCCGAUGGAUCGGAUUCGGAUCGGGUAAAGAUCCAUCUAACUCCAUGGGAUCUCUUCUUCCUUCGAUCAGACUACCCGCAAAGAGGUCUCCUCUUUCCAAAACCCGACCCGGAAACCGAUAUAAUCUCACAACUCAAAUCCUCUCUUUCGGUUGCGUUGAGUAUCUUCUACCCAUUCGCCGGCAGACUAGUCAAGACCGAGAACGAAAACGACGAAACGGCGUCGUUCCUCGUAGACUGCGAUGGUUCAGGCGUCAAGUUCAUCCACGCUUCAGCUAAAACCGUCUCGCUGAGUGACGUUCUAGAACCGGUCAACGGCAUCGUCCCCGAGUUCUUGAACCGUUUCUUCCCGGCUAACGGAGUCAAGAGCUGCGAAGGGGUCUCUGAGUCGUUGAUCGCGUUCCAAGUAACGGAGUUAAGAGACGGAGUCUUCAUCGCGUUCGGCUAUAACCACAUGGUCGCAGACGGAUCUUCCUUCUGGAGCUUCUUCAACACUUGGUCGGAGAUUUGCUCCACCGGAGUUGACCGGGAUAAAAAGUUCCCGCCUCUGCUUCUCCGCGGCUGGUUUCUCGACGGGAUCGAUCACCCGAUUCGAAUCCCGAUCUCGGAGACGGUGAUACCGUCUCCUCCGGUUGCUUCUUCGUCAUCGUUGCUACGAGAGAAGGUCUUUCGAUUCACGAGAAGAAACAUCUCCGAGCUCAAAUCGAAAGCAAACGGAGAAGUUAGCUUCGAUGAUCGGAGAAUCUCGUCGCUUCAGGCGGUUUCAGCGCAUAUGUGGCGAUCGAUUAUCAAAAACAGUGAUUUGAAUCCGGAGGAAGUGGUUUACUGCAAGUUACUGAUGGAUAUGAGACGGAGACUAAACCCUCCGCUUGAUAAAGAGUGUUUCGGAAACGUCGUCGGAUUCGCGACAGCGACGACAACGGCUGGAGAAAUGGUUAGUAAUGGGCUGGGUUGGGCCGCGUUGCAGAUAUUAUUACAAGAGAGAUAUGUGGAACCUUAACGACUCACCUGAUCACCACGAAGAAUCCGACGGUAGAUGGAAACGGGCUGGAGAUGUACCAAUCUCUAUGAGAUCAUCGACCACGUGUCUGUUGUCUGUUCCUCCGGUGACCCGAAAUUUUUUUCCGAAUCAAAUCAUGGAACAGGAAGUUCCAGGAAUAUCUGGGUCCGGUAUCACUAGAAACCAAUGUCUUGUUCGGUCGGAUCCUAGCGGGUCUGGUCGUCCGGAAAACCUAGAGCUGGAGAUAACACCGCCGGUAAAAAAGAGCCGACGUGGUCCUCGUUCCCGGAGCUCUCAGUAUAGAGGAGUUACUUUUUACCGACGAACCGGAAGAUGGGAGUCACAUAUUUGGUAACUUAAUUUUCUUAACCCUACGAUAUACCGAAUACUAUUAUUGCAUAUAUGGUACAUCCAUCAAAUCCAAGUUUCAUUUCAUUCGGGCCAAUACCUUAUUGUUAUUUUUAAAAUAUGUGUUGGAAUAUUAUGCAGGGACUGCGGGAAGCAAGUGUACUUAGGUAUGAUCAUGUAAUGUUGUUCAAACACAGAUCAAAUAUCCUAUUGAAACUAAGUUGUGUUGUGUCUGUCCAUUUUUAUAUGAUUUCUUCGACCAAAUAAAGGUUUUAUUAUCUCCUUAUAUUACUUUUUGUUACAUAUUCAGGUGGAUUUGACACAGCACAUGCCGCUGCUCGGUAUGUUUUACUCAUCCAAAUAUGAUCAAUUAGAACGAAUCUAAUAUUCCUUAUUUUGUAAUUUGCUGAUAUACAAAUUAAUUUGGGUGGGUAACUGUUUGGGACAGUGCCUACGAUAGAGCCGCAGUUAAGUUUAGAGGUGUAGAUGCAGAUAUAAAUUUCAAUAUUGAAGACUAUGUGGAGGAUUUGAAACAGGUAAAAUAUUUAUUAUUUGUAGGUUCAAGCAAUUGACUUAGAUUAUUACUCGAACAUAAAACAAAUUAAUAUUUGUUGCAGAUGAGCAGUUUGACAAAGGAAGAGUUCAUGCAUGUCAUUAGAAGGCAAAGCACUGGGUUUCCAAGAGGCAGCUCUAAAUAUAGAGGUGUCACUUUGCAUAAAUGUGGAAGAUGGGAAGCUCGAUUGGGUCAAUUUCUCAACAAAAAGUAAAACUACACAAAUAAUAUGGGGUCAUUUUUUUUUUUGAAAUGUUUUGUUUUUCUUAUGGAUAUUUAAAAUUUGGUACUGUAUUGUUUGCUUUUUAUUUAUUUUCAGGUACGUUUAUUUGGGUCUCUUUGAUACCGAGAUGGAAGCUGCAAGGUACUGUUUUAUUAUUGUUCAAUGUCUCAUCAUCACGUUUCCAAAACAAUAGUAUUUAUGUUUGGGCAAAAGAAAAGCAAUAGUAUCUGUUUUGUUUAAUUUCUUCUUCGUGCUUUUUGAAUUAUAGAGCAUACGAUAAAGCAGCAAUAAAGUCUAAUGGAAAAGAUGCAGUUACCAAUUUUGACCCUAAAGUAUAUGAGGAACAGCAUAAUAGCCCAGGUAACUUGAUUUUACGUUUCCGCCUAUAAAAACUACAUAUACAUUUUUUUUACUCCAGUCACCAAAUUUUACUCACGGUAACCACAUUUUAUCACGGUAACAAUCAUCAGAGAAGCAGUGGGAUGAUCAUAACCUUGAUCUAAGUCUAGUUGAAUCAAACUCGGAAGAGUUUGGAACCAAAUCUGAGGUAAGUUAAGUUGUUCAUGUUUUUAUAAAUUUAAUGUGUGAAAAAAAGAUAAAUAGUGAUUAUGGUCUAAACUGAUACAUUUUAAAGACUGCGAGCAUGAGAAAUGGAUUUAGAGACGAGGAGAGACUAUUAGGGAGCCAUCUCUCCCUAGCGAUGACGACAACAGCGACUGUCGGAUCAGAGAAGCCAUUGGACGGUGGAGGAAAGCGAGUGGGAAUGGCGGCAUCAUCAGGAUUCUCUCCUCGCUUUCCUCCUUGGAACCACCACACUCCUCGCACCUUCCACUUCUUUCGUCCCUGAUUCACCAUCAUCAUCACAGUCACUCAUACAACAAAUGUUUUGGAGAAACUUUCCAGGAGCUAUUUUUCGGCUGUGUGGUGUGUAUGUAUUACAUAUAUGUUCUUGUGUCCAUGUAAGACUUUUCU